rnacentral:rRNA from 1 species
UACGUAGGUGGCAAGCGUUGUCCGGAUUUAUUGGGCGUAAAGCGCGCGCAGGCGGUUUCUUAAGUCUGAUGUGAAAGCCCUCGGCUUAACCGAGGAGGGUCAUUGGAAACUGGGAGACUUGAGUGCAGAAGAGGAAAGUGGAAUUCCAAGUGUAGCGGUGAAAUGCGUAGAUAUCUGGAGGAACACCGGUGGCGAAGGCGGCAUCCUGGACCGGUAUUGACGCUGAGGAGCGAAAGCCAGGGGAGCAAACGGG